rnacentral:rRNA from 1 species
GACGAACGCUGGCGGCGUGCUUAACACAUGCAAGUCGAACGGAAAGGCCCUGCUUGCAGGGUACUCGAGUGGCGAACGGGUGAGUAACACGUGGGUGAUCUGCCCUGCACUUCGGGAUAAGCUUGGGAAACUGGGUCUAAUACCGGAUAGGAGCCAUCUUUAGUGUGGUGGUUGGAAAGUUUUUUCGGUGUAGGAUGAGCUCGCGGCCUAUCAGCUUGUUGGUGGGGUAAUGGCCUACCAAGGCGGCGACGGGUAGCCGGCCUGAGAGGGUGUACGACCACAUUGGGACUGAGAUACGGCCCAGACUCCUACGGGAGGCAGCAGUGGGGAAUACUGCACAAUGGGCGCAAGCCUGAUGCAGCGACGCCGCGUGGGGGAUGAAGGCCUUCGGGUUGUAAACUCCUUUCGCUAGGGACGAAGCUUUUUUGUGACGGUACCUAGAUAAGAAGCACCGGCUAACUACGUG